CAGUCUUCAAAAUUGCCUUUGCUUUGCGUUGCUUUGAUUCAUAAAACAAGGAGAAAGAGAAUGCACGAUCCUUAUUUUUCAAUCCAACAAGGCUUUGAUUUGAUCCUAUCAUUUCGGUGAAAAUUCUGCAUCAUUUAUUUGAAUCAUUUGUAGCUCAUUCUACAAGGAUGACUAUGCUGCAGAUGGAUAACAAACGUUAUUGGUAGGCCUAGCAACCUAUACUGUUUUUUUUUUUCAUCGUGAUCUAGUGUUGUUGCUUUACGCUGUUGCUGACCACAAUCAGUAUCAGCUAUCUUCUCUGGAGAAAAUGACAUGAUUAAAUAUGUUGCUCAAGAUAUUGGCGUUAUGCUCGAACAAGAACACUACCUCCAUAGCGCUGUUGGAGACAUGGAUCAUUCCACGGAGCCCAAACAUCCUUGCCACGUUCAGAACAAGGCUCUAUCCAACGAACUGUGAUCUCCGGCACACUGUUAUUCAAAAGUCAAACAAUAUUUUAUCCUAUUCUUUAUGGUAAUAAAAAAUCUCUUGUUUGUCUGAAAAAGAUCUACCAUGGAAAAA